rnacentral:rRNA from 1 species
GAUGAACGCUGGCGGCGUGCUUAACACAUGCAAGUCGAACGAAGCACUUUUGAUUGAUUUCUUCGGAAAGAGAGAGACUGUGACUGAGUGGCGGACGGGUGAGUAACGCGUGGGUAACCUGCCUCAUACAGGGGGAUAACAGUUAGAAAUGACUGCUAAUACCGCAUAAGCACACAGCUUCGCAUGAAGCAGUGUGAAAAACUCCGGUGGUAUGAGAUGGACCCGCGUCUGAUUAGGUAGUUGGUGGGGUAACGGCCCACCAAGCCGACGAUCAGUAGCCGACCUGAGAGGGUGACCGGCCACAUUGGGACUGAGACACGGCCCAAACUCCUACGGGAGGCAGCAGUGGGGAAUAUUGCACAAUGGGGGAAACCCUGAUGCAGCGACGCCGCGUGAAGGAUGAAGUAUUUCGGUAUGUAAACUUCUAU